CGCGGGAUGGAGCAGUCUGGUAGCUCGUCGGGCUCAUAACAGGCUCAUAACCCGAAGGUCGUCGGUUCAAAUCCGGCUCCCGCAACCA
rnacentral:tRNA from 1 species